rnacentral:rRNA from 1 species
UCAAACCAUGGAAGUUGGGAGUACCUUAAGACGGUAGCCGAAAGGAGCUGUCCAAGGUAAUACCAGUAACUGGGGUUAAGUCGUAACAAGGUAGCCGUACCGGAAGGUGCGGCUGGAAUACCUCCUUU